UACGAAGGGGGCUAGCGUUGCUCGGAAUCACUGGGCGUAAAGGGUGCGUAGGCGGGGCUUUAAGUCAGGGGUGAAAUCCUGGAGCUCAACUCCAGAACUGCCUUUGAUACUGAAGAUCUUGAGUUCGGGAGAGGUGAGUGGAACUGCGAGUGUAGUGGUGAAAUUCGUAGAUAUUCGCAAGAACACCAGUGGCGAAGGCGGCUCACUGGCCCGUAACUGACGCUGAGGCACGAAAGCGUGGGGAGCAAACAGG
rnacentral:rRNA from 1 species